rnacentral:rRNA from 1 species
UACGGAGGAUGCGAGCGUUAUCCGGAUUUAUUGGGUUUAAAGGGUGCGUAGGCGGAUUAAUAAGUCAGUGGUGAAAUCCUAGGGCUCAACUCUAGAAUUGCCAUUGAUACUGUUAAUCUUGAAUGCAGUUGAGGUAUGCGGAAUGUGUAAUGUAGCGGUGAAAUGCUUAGAUAUUACACAGAACACCGAUUGCGAAGGCAGCAUGCUAAGCUGUGAUUGACGCUGAUGCACGAAAGCGUGGGGAUCAAACAGG